rnacentral:rRNA from 1 species
UACGUAGGGUGCAAGCGUUGUCCGGAAUUGUUGGGCGUAAAGAGCUCGUAGGCGGUUUGUCGCGUCUGCUGUGAAAACCCGAGGCUCAACCUCGGGCCUGCAGUGGGUACGGGCAGACUAGAGUGCGGUAGGGGAGAUUGGAAUUCCUGGUGUAGCGGUGGAAUGCGCAGAUAUCAGGAGGAACACCGGUGGCGAAGGCGGAUCUCUGGGCCAUUACUGACGCUGAGGAGCGAAAGCGUGGGGAGCGAACAGG